UACGUAGGGGGCUAGCGUUGUCCGGAAUCAUUGGGCGUAAAGCGCGUGUAGGCGGUCCGGUAAGUCCGCUGUGAAAGUCGGGGGCUCAACCCUCGAAUGCCGGUGGAUACUGUCGGGCUAGAGUGCGGAAGAGGCGAGUGGAAUUCCUGGUGUAGCGGUGAAAGUGCGCAGAUAUCAGGAGGAACACCGGUGGCGAAGGCGGAUCUCUGGGCCUUACCUGACGCUCAGGUGCGAAAGCUAGGGGAGCGAACAGG
rnacentral:rRNA from 1 species